CAUGCAAGUCGAACGGUAACAGGAAGCAGCUUGCUGCUUUGCUGACGAGUGGCGGACGGGUGAGUAAUGUCUGGGAAACUGCCUGAUGGAGGGGGAUAACUACUGGAAACGGUGGCUAAUACCGCAUAACGUCGCAAGACCAAAGAGGGGGACCUUCGGGCCUCUUGCCAUCAGAUGUGCCCAGAUGGGAUUAGCUWGUUGGUGAGGUAACGGCUCACCAAGGCGACGAUCCCUAGCUGGUCUGAGAGGAUGACCAGCCACACUGGAACUGAGACACGGUCCAGACUCCUACGGGAGGCAGCAGUGGGGAAUAUUGCACAAUGGGCGCAAGCCUGAUGCAGCCAUGCCGCGUGUAUGAAGAAGGCCUUCGGGUUGUAAAGUACUUUCAGCGGGGAGGAAGGUGUU
rnacentral:rRNA from 1 species